CAGUUUUGAACAGUGUCUCUUUAUGGCCUGGCAUGUACUUGUGGAAGGUUCCAAGUUACACCUAUGGAACAGGAGGUUGGAAGAACAAAACAAUGCAAGAAACAGAACUACUGCAAGCCAAUACGUCCAGGGUGUCUGUAAACUGAAGAGGCUGAAAAGCAGGAGAUUGAGGUAGGGAGGACAAUUUCUUUUUUUCUCUGGAUACUCUGGAUAUCUCAGCAAUGAGAGAGCUGUUCUGAUCACUCACCCAUCUUUCUCCACCCCUACUGUCUACUACUUCCUUGAUCGGGUCAUUGCAAAAAUAACGGAAGGUCUCCUUUGAAGAUGUUUUCUAAUAAGGAAAUGUUAUCCCUUAGGGGUAGAUGAACAGUUUAUAGGGGAAUCCUAGGAGGGCUAUUGGUUUGAGAUUUGAGUGCUCAUCAGAGCAGAACUCUGGAUGCAAACUUCCAAGUGCCCUUGUGUGGCUCCGUGCAAAAGCCACUCAGCAGACCGCAGACACUUACCUCGUGAGUGCUUGGUCUCCUGGACGUCGUGUUGCCCCUGGAUGAUUGCUACUAGCUCCUGUGCAGCAGCACUGCCAGAUGUGGGGAUACACAAUCUGUUCCUGACCUUUUGCUGCAGACAGAUGCAAAACCAGGACUGUUCCUACCUUGGCUCUGACUCCUGGUUGUCACACACGUGACCUCAAAGCUACUGCACACCAUCAUGGACCUGCAGAUUCACUGGAGCAAAGCCUCCAAAUGGUAAAUGGAAAAGUCAUCUGGACUUAUCCAUGGCCCUGUUAACUCUGAUGGUGCUGCCCUGGCUGUACUUAACUACCUCCAUUAGGAGGAUAUGUUAUCUUUAACAAAGCCACAGAAGCUUAUUAAGUCACUGAGCAAACCUACAGCAUCCCUUGUACAGGCAGAGAUUCUUCUGAAGCCCCAUCAGAAUUUCUGGUCCAGUCAUCUGCCUCACUCUCUCUGUUCAACAUCUGUGGUGCUCUUAUUCAGCAGGAAAAAGCAAAGACAUUUAAAAGAAAACAAGAAACAGAACACGAUGCAAACAAACCAAAUUAAAGAAAAUGUUUUAAAGGAUUUCAUUACUCACAAGAUGUGAGAUGGUCAUGUGUUUGAAACUACAAUAUUAUUUCUGGCAACCGGUCUCGUGAUGUCCUUUUGUUGAUUUUUCCAACCUCUCAAAAAACUGGAGUGAAAAUAUUUUAGUGAUGUUACCAUCCCUGGGAACAGUUUGUCAACAUUGACCCAGGUUAAUGCUGCAAACUCAAAAUAUUUGGCAUGUGCUUUUGUAUUUUUACUUCAUCAAAGAGAUUAUAUGGAGUGAAGAUCUGUUCACAUGAAGGCAGUGAGAGAUACUGACAGUGUGCUUAAAGCAAGAGGGGCCCUUUUAUAAAUAUACGUGCACAUAUGCAAAUAUCCUUUUGCAGAUGAUGAUAUAAUCAUGAAAAAGUCAUUACUGUCACAUUAAGGUAGCUGGUUGAUGGGAAAGCUGCAUGGAUAUUGUGGGAAAAUAUAUACCGUAGAAACAAGGACAUAUGCAUCACAGUUCUGUAGCAGUUCUGUGACCGGGGGAAUCAAUGGAGCUUGAUUUUCUAUGGAUUUGUGCCCUGCUUUUAUGACCCUAUCCAGAUUUUCCAAUGUCUCAUAUGAGAUGCUGCACUUUUUACCUCAGAGAGGCACUAACCACUGCUCUUAGCUGACUGCCUAGUUUCAAAAUGCUUUUAAGGAUGUAAGAGGGUUGCUUUUUUUUUGGAUUUUCAUACCUUUGUCAAAUGUGCUUGACAUAGGCCUCAGCAUUUGAAGAUUGAUAGAGAGGUCUCAGGUGUACAAAGAGACAGCACGGUGUCCUAACCCCAAUUUCUGUAAAAUCAAGUUAAGCGUCCUCACACUUACAGCUAUGGAAAAGAAAAACAAAUGUGAAUUAGAACAGAAAACGUGAUUUUAAAUAUAAAUAUGGAAUGUAAUGGCUAAGGAAAAGAAGAUAAAUACGCAGAUUAAGAAUCAGUCAUUCAGGGGAGGUCUUCCACUGACUUGCAAUGAGAAUUUCACACCUAAUUGCAAUCUGUGUCUUUUAAAAUCACACAAUCUCUCCUGUAAAAGUACACAAAACUUCUCACAUAUGACGUUAUUUAAAAAAACUCAUGCAUAUGCUCUGGUGCCUGGGAAUAAACAAAGCUGACUGUUGGUUGCAGAUUGCAGAAAAAAGUCCAGAUUUCAUGGGUUCAUCUGUUACCUUCUAUUUUAUUUUAUUUUAUUUUUUUUAAUUUUAAUUAACAGAUACUGAUUUGUUUUGAGAUUUGUGUUUAGGUAAACAAACAAAAGAAAAGAAAUACUGAAUAAUUCCACUGAGAAUCUUACUGGCUUUGGAGUUUAAUUUUGGCCGGUAAGAGCAAUAGCUCAAUGACAUUGCUUUGACAGAAAAGGCCAACACGAGAGCUUUAAGGGUUUUAAUUUCCCAGAGGGGUCAUAAGGUCCCCUGCUUCCAAGUAUGUUAAAAAGACAAAUCAAACUGAAGAGCCAAGUCAGGUUCAUUAGCUCGGGCAAUCACAAUUACCAAAGCAAACACGCUGCUCCUUUUCUUUGUAUGGAGCCACAAGUUUUGCUAGAUACCAAACAAUGCUUUGGGCUGUGUUUAUAUUAGCGUACCCCCUGUCACCAGGGCCCAAUGAUCCUUGAAAAGGAUCAAACAAUAAAAGGAAAUGCAAGAAGAUAUCUUUUUAGGAUGACAAACACCCCUGCUGCAGCUGCCCCCAUCCCAUGUCCACUGACUCUGGGUUCAGCUGCAGCAGUGACAGGCCCUGAGGCUCAGGGUGCUCAGGAGCUCUUUCAUUUCUGACCAUCAAAGGACCACAAGUAGGGAGCGAGGCCUGAUUCUCUGCAUGAGAGACUGGCACGGCAUGGACUAAGCUGUCCUCUGAAGAUGCAUCAGGCUCUGAAGCCUGAAGUGGACACAGGGAUAUAGACCUAUGGGGUGCUGCAGAGCGGGCUGGACACUGUGCUGAGGGAAUUCAUGGGCUGUCAGGAGAAAGCUGGAGGUUGUGUAAAUACCAGCAGCCUCAGCCCUUCCAGCUGUGAGUCACACGAAUCAUUAAACUACUCAUAUAUCUCCUUAUCUUUCACCUCUUCCCUCUUUUUAUUGGAGUUAUUCUCCAGUUCUGUUGUCUUUCAAGUCACACCCUGUUUUCUCCAGUUUAGGAUCUUUCCAUAGCUGAGCUUAUGUUAUGAUUUGCAGGCCUUUCACAUCUCUGAAAUGCUGUAAGCAGUGCUUCUGAACUGAAUUCACCACAUAUUUGAUCUAGGCAAUGACAUGGUGCUAAGCCAACUGGAAAUGUUGCUUAAAAAAGCCCACAAACAAAUAAGCCAAAAUUUGAGAAACAAAAUCAAAGACUUACACACAAAAUGUAUAGAUGACUGGAAUCACAGAAUCUUUUGAGUUGGAAGGGACCCUUAAAGGUCACCUAGUCCAACUCCCCUGAAAUGAACAGAGACAUCUACAGCUCAACCUGCUCCUUGAAGUUUAUGGCAUAUCCACAGUAAGUUAGUAACAACUAAGAUUAAAAACAUAAUUGGGAUCCCACCGACCAGGUGAAAGGGAACUGAAAACUCAGAAGUCUGCAGUAAGCUGUUCAGCCAAAGUGGGACUCCUAGCAACUCUCAGAGAGAUUAACAGCUUGGUUUUGAAGUUGGAAGAAGACUUUCCAAAACAGAGCACGUUGCAGGGAGAGGUGCCAGCAUCCUGCUGUGUGUGCCUGCAGCCUUGGUGCUUGGCUGUCACCUGCCCUUGUGUGAGGGGUGAGGGAGUGUUAUGGGGAACAGCCUGCUCACUUGCUUUCUGAAGAGAUGGGAAGAACACAGCUGACUCUUUCUCUGAACGGGUAGGAAAGCAUUGCCUCCUUCUCCAGUCCAGCAGGAGCGAUCAUCCGGGGAAGAGGAAGCAAUGUAUGGCUUGUUGUACAAUGGGUGGUGUUGUAUGAUGAUUGUUGUUGCUUUGGAAAAGUUUGCUUUCUUUUCACUUUCUCCUGCCAGGUCAGAACAGGUAUAUCAAAAGGCCUGCUGCAAGCAGCUGGCUCAGGAUCACAGUCUGUCAUCUGGCCCCUGCACUCCUAUAUGUCCCAGUUCUUCUCCUGCAUCAUCUAUCUGCACUUAGUGCAAGUGAAAACCAAAGUGAUAUCUAGUGUUAGUUGUGACCGAGCCAGGAACUCAUGAUAUUUACAGUCCAAAAUAAAUGUUUAUUAUGUUCUGCAACAAAUUCUCUGAUUCUGUGUAAUUCUUUUUGUAAUCAUCUAUGAAGAACUGAUAUUAAGC